AUGGGGACACCUCCCACUGUCCCAGCUGCUCCAGCCCCAGUGUCCAACCUGGAACUGAACAUUCCAGGGAUCCAGGGGCAGCCACUCUGUCCCUCCAUUCCCUGUGUCCUGCCCCUCCAUUCCCUGUGUCUGUCCCUCCAUUCCCUGUGUCUGUCCCUCCAUUCCCUGUGUCUGUCCCUCCAUUCCCUGUGUCUGUCCCUCCAUUCCCUGUGUCUGUCCCUCCAUUCCCUGUGUCUGUCCCUCCAUUCCCUGUGUCUGUCCCUCCAUUCCCUGUGUCUGUCCCUCCAUUCCCUGUGUCUGUCCCUCCAUUCCCUGUGUCUGUCCCUCCAUUCCCUGUGUCUGUCCCUCCAUUCCCUGUGUCUGUCCCUCCAUUCCCUGUGUCUGUCCCUCCAUUCCCUGUGUCUGUCCCUCCAUUCCCUGUGUCUGUCCCUCCAUUCCCUGUGUCUGUCCCUCCAUUCCCUGUGUCUGUCCCUCCAUUCCCUGUGUCUGUCCCUCCAUUCCCUGUGUCUGUCCCUCCAUUCCCUGUGUCUGUCCCUCCAUUCCCUGUGUCUGUCCCUCCAUUCCCUGUGUCUGUCCCUCCAUUCCCUGUGUCUGUCCCUCCAUUCCCUGUGUCUGUCCCUCCAUUCCCUGUGUCUGUCCCUCCAUUCCCUGUGUCUGUCCCUCCAUUCCCUGUGUCUGUCCCUCCAUUCCCUGUGUCUGUCCCUCCAUUCCCUGUGUCUGUCCCUCCAUUCCCUGUGUCUGUCCCUCCAUUCCCUGUGUCUGUCCCUCCAUUCCCUGUGUCUGUCCCUCCAUUCCCUGUGUCUGUCCCUCCAUUCCCUGUGUCUGUCCCUCCAUUCCCUGUGUCUGUCCCUCCAUUCCCUGUGUCUGUCCCUCCAUUCCCUGUGUCUGUCCCUCCAUCCCUUGGGAAUUGUCUCUCUCCAUGUUUCCUGCAGCUCCUUCAGGCCCUGCAAGGCCACCCUGAGCUCAGCCCAAAGCUUCUCCUGUGCAGGUGAACAAUCCCAGCUGUGCCAGCCUUUCCUGCCAGCAGAGCUGCUCCAUCCCUCUGCUCAUCCUGCUGCCUCCUCUGGACACACAAAUCCAUGA
rnacentral:lncRNA from 1 species